AGGGGGACUCUGUCUGUGCAGUGCUUCUGUAAGGGCUACAAAAACCGCAUGGAGGGCAAGGUUUGGUGCAAAAUCAGGAAGAAGUGUGAGCCUGGUUUCACCCAAGUCUGGGUGAAAGGGCCCCGCUACUUGCUGCAGGACGACGCCCAGGCCAAGGUGGUCAACAUCACCAUGGUGGCCCUCAAGCUCCAGGACUCAGGCCGAUACUGGUGC